rnacentral:tRNA from 1 species
AGGGCUAUAGCUCAGUUAGGUAGAGCACCUCGUUUACACGCGCGCCAAUGUUUUUCAGGAGAGUCCAUCAUGCAUUGAUCUUAUUGAGAAAUCGAUGUCUUACUCCAUGACUUUGAGGGAACAAGAGAACAAUAGCCUGACCGAGAAGGUCUACGGUUCGAGUCCGUAUAGCCCUA